GCUUUCAACAUCCCCGUUCGCCGCGCCAGCACCUUCGACCGGCUGAACUGAAGGC
ncrna:unclassified sequences nadA RNA